GUCGCUGCCGACUUUGCUCCUUCUCCAUUAACCAUGAGUAGUCUAGUGAGUUAUAGAGUUUUCACAAAAUGGAUCAUAUUUUAACAGCCUCUCUCCUGAAUUUUCCAAAAGCCAGUGUCUGCACUCGCUGUAGUCUGCACCAUGACGAACCUAACUAAAGACAUUGCAAAGUUCUACAGUUUACACAAACAGGAUGCCAGAUGCAGAGCUUAUUCAUGCGGGAAUAUUUGAUAUUACUCAGCCGGCUUGUGUCCAAUCCUGUGUAUUCUGCUGCUAACUUGCACAUGUUGACAAAUAGUAGAGAUAUUGCCAGCUUGACAGUUGAUGUAGCAAAUCGGAUGUCCCAAAGAAAUAUUAGGAUUAUGCAGCUAGACAGCAUGCAUAGGCAGAUGAGGGUCGUUGAAUUGGGAAGAGCGUUCAAACGAAGAGUUUAUGCUUAUUUAGGCGAUCAUGUAUCAUAAGAGCCUCAUAUAACGGAGUGUUAUGAAAAUUUUGAUGGCAUCAUCAUUUAUUGAAGCCAGCUGAAAAAAGUGAGCAAGCAAGGGCUCCUGCUCACCUUUUUGGGAUGAUGGAUGCAUUAGAUGGGGAGUUUUUGCUCACUUAAGUGGAGCAUAAUCAAGGUGGACAAUAUUGGUGCUGAGAGGAUUAUCCAUGAAACUACUGAAUCUGGACGCUGAGGUUUUGGUUGGUUCAAGAAUCUGGCUUUUGUUCUUAUCGUGUGAAGGGUGUGGCUGAUCGGUGUAUGUAAUUUGGCUACUAUAAAAAGCUGUCAGAAAUGUAAUAACCCCUGACAAUGUAUCAGAGAAUUUUUUUUUGGCAUGGCAGGAAGUUUUGCAAUCAAAAAGAAUGAUUUUGUAUGA